CUCGGAGAUAAAACAACUUCAUACUUGUUGCUUGCUCAUUGUCUUUAUUUUUGUUUUCAUUCUAGACAUCUCGCUCUGUCGCUCUAGCAGCUCCUAACAGAGUUUUGAGUUGAUCUGCAUUCGUACAAUCAGGGCCGUCGGAAGUGGGCCUGCCCAGCAGGCGGGCGCCGUCCAGAAAGGGGCGCCAGUAGACGAUCCCUUGACAACAACCAACGACGGUGAGCAGUUAAAGAAAUGCAUAGGAAGGAAAUGGUAAGAAAUGCAGGUGCUCCGAAAAGCGUAUACAGGCUUUGACCGCUGACCAAUGCACUUAAUUUUCCCUCCUGCGUCCUUCCUCCUUCAUUCAUUAUUUCAGGUUGGUUUAACCAACUUGAAAUAAGGAAUGAAAUUAGAUAAAGUUCUGAGACAAGAAAAUGCAUGUUAAAAAUGCUGUAAAUUGGCAAAUGCUGUUAAAGGUUGCAAAGAUAGUAUAGAGUUUCAGACAAUUCCACCUAUGCAGAUUACCAUCCCUCUUAGAAAAGUUUGAAGCUGAUGGAACUGUUUAAAAUGUCCUCAGAAGUGUUCUGGAAGAUAGCAAAUAUCGAGAAGCCACAAAAGGAUAUAUGUAAUGUUAGUAGUGUUAUAGAAAAAAUGAAAAGUCCCACAAGGAGGGGAACAAAAACAAGUCCCACAAGGAUGAACAGAAAAUAUCAACAUGCCCCACAAGGAUGAAUGCAGUGUUAUAGAAAAGUAAUGGGGAGCCCCAAAAGGGCAAGGAACGGAAAAACAAAUCCCAAAAGGAUGAAUAGAAAAUGUCACAAGCCCCACGAGGAUGUUCUGGAAGGUAGCAAAUAUCAAUAAACCCCUCAAGAAUGAAGAGCCCCACAAAGACAAAGAACGGAAAAACAAAUCCCACAAGGAUGAACAGAAAAUAUCACCAAGCCCCACGAGGAUGUUCUGGAAGACUGCAAAUAUCAAGAAACUUAUCAAGGAUGAAUGUAGUGUUAUUGAAGAGAAAUGAAAAGCUCCCCAAGAAUGAGAAAUACAAAAAAAAAAAAAAAAAUCCCACAAGGACGAAUAGAAAAUAUCAAUAAGCCUGACAAGUUAUCUGGACAACAGCAAAUAUCAACAAUUCCACAAGCUGAUGGAAACAUAUCGACAGAUUUGAAGAAAAUCUGUGUCACAAGAUGGAAAUUCAAAAGCAUGUGCUCAUCGCAUUUUCAGCUUUGAUAUUGAAAAUACAAGACAUUUCAAGACUAAUUCAUACUCCCAUAGUGCAGAUAACCCGGAUCAACGAAUACGGUUUAUGCAUGUGGUACGUGACAAGAUGUAGACAGGACACAGUUUCCAAAGAAAAAUGUAUGGAGCGAGGAAGCUACAUUUAAAAGUAGGUGUUGAAAAAAGAAAUUAUUCAUUUUCUCAGAUUAUUUGGAAAAUAAACCAUAUAUUACUAACUGACUUUAUGAGCAUUCAACGGAUAUGAAUAACGUUUUCGCAUACUGUGCAGCUAAAUGAAUAGCAUAUGUACAGUUGUUCAAAAAAGUCAUUACUAGACUUUUAUUUUCACAACCGAUGAUCGUAGACAUAUACUUUCAAACACAGAAGUGUUUUAAAUGAUGCAAAUAUUCAUGAUGUGGCAUUUUUUAAAUUAAAAAACAUCAGUUUUAUAAAAAUUACAAAAUUUAACUUUUGCUACAAUCUUCCGGAUUUUUAUAUUUAUAUUUAGGAAAAUUUUAUGUCCAUUAUGAAAAAUAAAACACAAAACUUUUGACUCUCGGACGACAAAAACUGACCCAGAUAUUUAAUUUGAAAAUUUGAGAAUUUCCAAUUUACGUUGAGAGGCUAGUUAAUAAAUAUAUCAGACAAAUUUUAGAUUUAUUUUUUCCUUUAAAUGACAUUCACUGAUAUUCUUUUGAGAUUUACUAAUUUAUUUUAAAUUCCAAUUUUUGCCUAUAAAUGAUAGGUUAGGAUACGUUAUUUGAAUAUGGCAAAGUACCCGAGGGCUAUCUGCUUAAGGAAAGGAAUGCCUUCGCGAAGAACUUUCAUGGCUCGUAUUCUUCAUGUUACACACGGUGAAACGAUGAAAACCUACGACGCAGCCAACUUUUUCGCCUAAUAUUGAAUCCAGAUCGAACUACCAGUAUUCAGCGAUCUUAAUAAUUGAGCGUCUGCUGGGGACCUAGUCAAAAAAGGAAAGUUUUGGAGCAUUUAAAAAAGUACCAUUGUGUCUAGUUUUUAGAGUCAAAAAUGAAAAAAGUAAUGAUGUGUAUCCAGAAAAAAAAAAAAAAGAAAAAAAAAAUAGUGUCAUUUAUAUAGAAGCUUUACCUAAAAUAUGCUUUUUAAGUAAUUAUUAUGAUUAUUAUUAUUAGUAGUGGUAAUAGCAAUAUUGUUAUUUCCAGAUAACUUCAACAGAUCAAGUUUAUACGUUAUCGACCUUUAAUACUUUUUUUAUAAAGUACCUUCCCUUCUCGUUACACACUUUCAGAAACGCAGAACCGUCUUGUAUUUGGAUUAAUGUGGUAUUCAAGCGAACAUUACCCCGAGCCAAUGUUUAUAAGACAAUAUAGCACUCGGAAAUGUAAAUGUUGACUUCUUUAGUGCUGCUGAUAUUUAUAAAAAUUAUCAUUAGAUGCAUUAUAAAAUAAUAUAAAUUAUACAUAAAAAGACUUUAUUGUACAUAUUUGUACAGAUUAUUAAAAAUCGUGCUGUUCUU